rnacentral:tRNA from 1 species
GGCUACAUAGCUCAUGGGUAGAGUGCAUGCCUAGCAUGCAUGAGGUCCUGGGUUCAAGCCCCAGUACCUCCA